rnacentral:rRNA from 1 species
GACGAACGCUGGCGGCGUGCUUAACACAUGCAAGUCGAGCGGUAAGGCCCUUUCGGGGUACGACGAGCGGCGAACGGGUGAGUAACACGUGGGUGACCUGCCCUUAGCUCUGGGAUAAGCCUGGGAAACUGGGUCUAAUACCGGAUAUGACUCCAUGACGCAUGUUGUGGGGUGGAAAGCCUUGUGCGGCUAGGGAUGGGCCCGCGGCCUAUCAGCUUGUUGGUGGGGUGAUGGCCUACCAAGGCGACGACGGGUAGCCGGCCUGGGAGGGCGACCGGCCACACUGGGACUGAGACACGGCCCAGACUCCUACGGGAGGCAGCAGUGGGGAAUCUUGCGCAAUGGGCGAAAGCCUGACGCAGCGACGCCGCGUGGGGAUGACGGCCUCGG